UGCUUGGCACUUUGUAUUUCACAGUUUGU
rnacentral:piRNA from 1 species